rnacentral:rRNA from 1 species
UACGGGGGGGGCAAGCGUUGUUCGGAAUUACUGGGCGUAAAGCGUGCGCAGGCGGCUAUUUAAGCUUGCUGUGAAAGCCCCGGGCUUAACCUGGGAACUGCAGUGAGGACUGGAUGGCUGGAGUGUGGCAGAGGGGGGUGGAAUUCCACGUGUAGCAGUGAAAUGCGUAGAGAUGUGGAGGAACACCGAUGGCGAAGGCAGCCCCCUGGGCUAACACUGACGCUCAGGCACGAAAGCGUGGGGAGCAAACAGG